rnacentral:rRNA from 1 species
GACGAACGCUGGCGGCGUGCCUAAUACAUGCAAGUCGAACGAACUCUGGUAUUGUAUUGGUGCUUGCAUCAUGAUUUACAUUUGAGUGAGUGGCGAACUGGUGAGUAACACGUGGGAAACCUGCCCACGAAGCGGGGGAGUAACACCUGGAAACAGAUGCUAAUACCGCAUAACAACUUGGACCGCAUGGUCCGAGUUUGAAAGAUGGCUUCGGCUAUCU